GGUGACCUUUAGUUCGUAGAGUGACCUGCGCAGUCGUGGAGGAAGCGUGCGAAUGUAGUAGGUCCCGCAAAUAUUAGGUGUGGUUUUGAACUCUCAUCCGUAGGCACUUGAGACUUUGCAGAACGAUAGUCACCGCCUGAGCUGAUCGGUAGCAUCAGAGAUCUUCCCAUUCUUAUCUGGCGUUGGCUGACAGGAAGAAGGCUUGACGUGUAUGAAUUCCUGUUGAUCCGGCGUAGUCACUUUCCAUCAGUGCAGGAAGACAUCAAGGUCACUACAGUCUGGCGCAAUGGCGUUGUCUGCCAGGAAGGAGACUUGAUAUAUAGGAACUCAUAUUGGUUCGACAAAGUCGUGUCCAUCUACGCAGGAAGACAUCAUGGUCACUUACGUCUGACGAAUGGUGUUCUCUGCCAGAAAAGAGACAUGACGUCUAUGAAUUUACAAUGGUUCGCCACGGGCACUUCCCAGCUGUGCAGGAAGACAUCAGGGACAUAGCUGUCUGGCGCAAUGGAGCUGUACCAGAUAGCCUGGCGUCGCCACUAUCACCAACACUAAGGUGGUACCAUCAUUACAUAUGUCGGACGUCGUAUGCUGGGCAGACUGGUAAACCAGGACAAGUGGCAAACUGUGGCAGAACUGACAUCAGACUUUAAUGCUGGUCAGAGUACACGUGACUGAACACAGUGCACUGAAAAAUCCUGAUGACCCAUGCAUGUGCCUGCCAGAAGAAUAUAAAGAUGAUGUAAUUUUCCAAUCUGAAUUAAUAAAUAUAGAUUAGGAGGCCUA